GCGGGUGUGGUGGAGUAGUACCACGUAGGGCUCAUAUCCCUGAGGCGCCGUGCAAAUCGGACACCCGCCACCA
rnacentral:tRNA from 1 species